rnacentral:rRNA from 1 species
AGAGUUUGAUCAUGGCUCAGAUUGAACGCUGGCGGCAUGCUUUACACAUGCAAGUCGAACGGUAACAGGCCGCAAGGUGCUGACGAGUGGCGAACGGGUGAGUAAUGUAUCGGAACGUGCCCAGUCGUGGGGGAUAACGCAGCGAAAGCUGCGCUAAUACCGCAUACGAUCUAUGGAUGAAAGCGGGGGACCGUAAGGCCUCGCGCGAUUGGAGCGGCCGAUAUCAGAUUAGGUAGUUGGUGGGGUAAAGGCUCACCAAGCCAGCGAUCUGUAGCUGGUCUGAGAGGACGACCAGCCACACUGGGACUGAGACACGGCCCAGACUCCUACGGGAGGCAGCAGUGGGGAAUUUUGGACAAUGGGCGCAAGCCUGAUCCAGCAAUGCCGCGUGCAGGAAGAAGGCCUUCGGGUUGUAAACUGCUUUUGUACGGAACGAAACGGUCCUGGUUAAUACCUGGGGCUAAUGACGGUACCGUAAGAAUAAGCACCGGCUAACUACGUGCCAGCAGCCGCGGUAAUACGUAGGGUGCAAGCGUUAAUCGGAAUUACUGGGCGUAAAGCGUGCGCAGGCGGUUUUGUAAGACAGGCGUGAAAUCCCCGGGCUUAACCUGGGAAUGGCGCUUGUGACUGCAAAGCUGGAGUGCGGCAGAGGGGGAUGGAAUUCCGCGUGUAGCAGUGAAAUGCGUAGAUAUGCGGAGGA